rnacentral:lncRNA from 1 species
AUUGCUUCAGCUGCAAGUAACAAAGGUUAAUGACAUAUUUUUGUACUUUUGGUUAGUGAUUAAAAGAAAAGCAAUGAUAUAAAAAAUGCAAGCAAUGCUUGGUGAUCAAGAAUCACUCUCAAAAGGAAUAACCCCCCACAGGGAAGGAAGCAAGGUGUCCAAUGAUCCUUGAGGCUAUGCAAUGUGAUGAUAUGAAGCCAUGAGGGAUCUUAGGGACAAAAUUGGGGUCUUACAGGUGCUACCUAAACGGAACAAGAUUC